rnacentral:rRNA from 1 species
CUAAGCCAUGCGAGUCAAAUGUUCUUCGUGAACAUGGCGUACUGCUCAGUAACACGUGGAUAACCUGCCCUUAGGACUGGCAUAACCCCGGGAAACUGGGGAUAAUUCCGGAUAGUUCAUGGUAGCUGGAAUGCUCCAUGAUCGAAAGCUAUUGCGCCUAAGGAUGGGUCUGCGGUCUAUCAGGUAGUAGUGGGUGUAAUGUACCUACUAGCCGACGACGGAUACGGGUUGUGGGAGCAAGAGCCCGGAGAUGGAUUCUGAGACAUGAAUCCAGGCCCUACGGGGCGCAGCAGGCGCGAAAACUUUACAAUGCGGGAAACCGCGAUAAGGGGACACCGAGUGCCAGCAUCUUAUGUUGGCUGUCCGCAUGUAUAAAUCACAUGUGUUAGCAAGGGCCGGGCAAGACCGGUGCCAGCCGCCGCGGUAACACCGGCGGCCCGAGUGGUGGCCACUAUUAUUGGGUCUAAAGGGUCCGUAGCCGGUUUGGUCAGUCUUCCGGGAAAUCUGACGGCUUACCGUUAGGCUUUCGGGGGAUACUACCAGGCUUGGGACCGGGAGAGGUAAGAGGUACUACGGGGGUAGGAGUGAAAUCUUGUAAUCCUCGUGGGACCACCAGUGGCGAAGGCGACUUACCAGGACGGGUCCGACGGUGAGGGACGAAAGCUGGGGGCACGAACCGGAUUAGAUACCCGGGCAGUCCCAGCCGUAAACUAUGCUCGCUAGGUGUCAGGGACGGUGCGACCGUUUCUGGUGCCGCAGGGAAGCCGUGAAGCGAGCCACCUGGGAAGUACGGUCGCAAGGCUGAAACUUAAAGGAAUAGGCGGGGGAGCACUACAACGGGUGGAGCCUGCGGUUUAAUUGGACUCAACGCCGGAAAACUCACCUGGGGCGACAGCAAUAUGUAGG